UAUAUAUAUAUAUACCCAACAGCUCCAACAUCUAUGGACUAGUACUUGGGUUCGUUGUCAUCUUUAGAGCUGAGGAAGGAAGAUGAUGAUGGUACUUUUGAAGAUGAGAAGAAGAUUUCUAAGAUGUCAUCUUUCAUCCAUGUUUAAGGGGAUUACUGAUCUUCUUGGCAUAGAGAAUUAGGCUUGGAGCUGUGGCCUAAAGAUCCAUAAUUUGGAAGGUGAAUUAACUUGAGGAAAUCCAACCUCUAGGCAAGUCUGAUGCUUGGCUUUGAAUUAUUCUCUCCUUUUCUUUUUCUUGCUCUUUCUUCUUUGGUUUUCUUGUUCGGUUGCCAAGAAGAUGGAGGAAAAAUAAAACUACAUAUUACAUGUUAGAAUAUUUCCGAGAUUUUAUUUC